CACGGAGUUAGCCGAUCCUUAUUCGUACGAUACUUUCAGACAGAUACGCGUAUCUGCGUUUACCCUCGUACAAAAGCAGUUUACAACUCAUAGAGCCGUCUUCCUGCACGCGGCAUGGCUGGUUCAGACUUGCGUCCAUUGACCAAUAUUCCUCACUGCUGCCUCCCGUAGGAGUUUGGUCCGUGUCUCAGUACCAAUGUGGGGGGUUAACCUCUCAGUCCCCCUAUGUAUCGUUGUCUUGGUGAGCCGUUACCCCACCAACUAACUAAUACAACGCAUGCCCAUCCAUUACCACCGGAGUUUUCAACCCAAGAAGAUGCCUCCCUGGAUGUUAUGGGGUAUUAGUACCGAUUUCUCAGUGUUAUCCCCCUGUAAUGGGUAGGUUGCAUACGCGUUACGCACCCGUGCGCCGGUCGCCGACGUAGAUUGCAAGCAAUCUACUCGCUGCCCCUCGACUUGCAUGUGUUAAGCCUGCCGCUAGCGUUCAUCCUGAGCCAGGAUC
rnacentral:rRNA from 1 species